rnacentral:rRNA from 1 species
AGUGAACGCUGGCGGUAGGCCUAACACAUGCAAGUCGAACGGCAGCACAGUAAGAGCUUGCUCUUACGGGUGGCGAGUGGCGGACGGGUGAGGAAUACAUCGGAAUCUACUUUUUCGUGGGGGAUAACGUAGGGAAACUUACGCUAAUACCUCAUACGACCUACGGGUGAAAGCAGGGGAUCUUCGGACCUUGCGCGAUUGAAUGAGCCGAUGUCGCAUUAGCUAGUUGGCGGGGUAAAGGCCCACCAAGGCGACGAUCCGUAGCUGGUCUGAGAGGAUGAUCAGCCACACUGGAACUGAGACACGGUCCAGACUCCUACGGGAGGCAGCAGUAGGGAAUAUUGGACAAUGGGCGAAAGCCUGAUCGAGCAAUACCGCGUGAGUGAAGAAGGUCUUCGGGUUGUAAAACUCUGUUGUUGGGAAAGAAAAGAAGCAGGAGAAAACACGGAUGUCUUGACGGUACCCAAAGAAUAAGCAACGGCUAACUUCGUG